rnacentral:rRNA from 1 species
GAUGAACGCUGACAGAAUGCUUAACACAUGCAAGUCUACUUGAUUCUAUUUCUGUAGUUGAUGGUGGCGGACGGGUGAGUAACGCGUAAAGAAUCUGCCCUUUAGUUUGGGAUAACCUUUGGAAACGAAGGCUAAUACCGGAUAUUAUGGAGACGUCGCAUGGCGACUCCAUGAAAGCUAUAUGCGCUAGAGGAGGACUUUGCGUCCCAUUAGUUAGUUGGUGAGGUAAUGGCUCACCAAGACCGCGAUGGGUAGCCGGCCUGAGAGGGUGAUCGGCCAAAAGGGAACUGGGACACGGUCCUUACUCCUACGGGAGGCAGCAGUGGGGAAUAUUGGACAAUGGGCCACAAGCCUGAUCCAGCAAUUCUGUGUGCACGAUGAAGGUCUUCGGAUUGUAAAGUGCUUUCAGUAGGGAAGAAAAAAAUGACGGUACCUACAGAGGAAGCGACGGCUAAAUAUGUGCCAGCAGCCGCCGUAAUAC